rnacentral:rRNA from 1 species
UACGGAGGGUGCAAGCGUUAUCCGGAUUUACUGGGCUUAAAGGGUGCGCAGGCGGAUAUGUAAGUCAGUGGUGAAAUCUCUGGGCUUAACCCGGAAAUUGCCAUUGAUACUAUAUAUCUUGAAUGCUGUGGAGGUAAGCGGAAUAUGUCAUGUAGCGGUGAAAUGCUUAGAGAUGACAUAGAACACCUAUUGCGAAGGCAGCUUACUACGCAGAGAUUGACGCUCAUGCACGAAAGCGUGGGGAUCAAACAGG